UGGGUAACCUGCCUCAAAGAGGGGAAUAGCCUCCCGAAAGGGAGAUUAAUACCGCAUAAUAUGUUUAAGUCGCAUGACUUUAACAUCAAAGGAUUUUCUUUUAAGAAAUUCCACUUUGAGAUGGACCCCGCGGCGCAUUAGCUAGUUGGUGAGGUAACGGCUCACCAAGGCAACGAUGCGUAGCCGACCUGAGAGGGUGAUCGGCCACAUUGGAACUGAGACACGGUCCAGCUCCGUAGGG
rnacentral:rRNA from 1 species